UACGAAGGGGGCUAGCGUUGUUCGGAAUUACUGGGCGUAAAGCGCACGUAGGCGGAUUUGGUAGUCAGGGGUGAAAUCCCGGGGCUCAACCUCGGCACUGCCUUUGAUACUGCAAGUCUUGAGUCCGGAAGAGGUGAGUGGAAUUCCUAGUGUAGAGGUGAAAUUCGUAGAUAUUAGGAGGAACACCAGUGGCGAAGGCUGCGCACUGGUCCGGUACUGACGCUGAGGUGCGAAAGCGUGGGGAGAAAACACG
rnacentral:rRNA from 1 species